ACGUGGGUGUUGGAUUGAAGACAAUAGUUUUUAGUUUUUAUUAGUAUGAUUGUUUUUUAGUUAUGAUUUUUAAUAGAGUAGAAAUCGGUUUUUAUUAAUUACACUUAUAUUUUUGUAAGUUUAUUUUUAUCCUUAAUUUUCAAUACAAUUAUGUUGAAAUAAAAUUACAUUUUCGUCUGCUAAGAUUAGUUAAAGAUAACGAUAUUUUCCAAAGAAUUUAUUACAGUGUAGAAAGUUAAUUGUUAAUCUUAACGGGAUUCCUAAAUUUUAUGACACCUUCAGUAGGUCAGUCUAGUCAUUUAGAGUUCAAAUAAUAGUCGUCUGCAAAUGCAGCUGUGGCGAUUUAAUUACUUUGUUUUGAUCAUCUCUGGAAAUCAGGUUAAAUUAGUGUGAAAUUUUAUGUCUAAUGUUCAGACGUAAACAGUUCGUCUUUAUCAUGCGAUAAGUUAACAUCGAAAACAAUGUUGUGAAAUUGUUAUACGCAAUGAUUGUAAAUAUUGUAAAUAUUGGAUUAAAACGUAGUUAUUAGCAAA